rnacentral:rRNA from 1 species
GAUGAACGCUGGCGGCGUGCCUAAUACAUGCAAGUCGAGCGAACAGACGAGGAGCUUGCUCCUCUGACGUUAGCGGCGGACGGGUGAGUAACACGUGGAUAACCUACCUAUAAGACUGGGAUAACUUCGGGAAACCGGAGCUAAUACCGGAUAAUAUAUUGAACCGCAUGGUUCAAUAGUGAAAGACGGUUUUGCUGUCACUUAUAGAUGGAUCCGCGCCGCAUUAGCUAGUUGGUAAGGUAACGGCUUACCAAGGCAACGAUGCGUAGCCGACCUGAGAGGGUGAUCGGCCACACUGGAACUGAGACACGGUCCAGACUCCUACGGGAGGCAGCCGUAGGGAAUCUUCCGCAAUGGGCGAAAGCUUGACGGAGCAACGCCGCGUGAGUGAUGAAGGUCUUCGGAUCGUAAAACUCUGUUAUUAGGGAAGAACAAAUGUGUAAGUAACUAUGCACGUCUUGACGGUACCUAAUCAGAAAGCCACGGCUAACUACGUG